AUUGACUUCGCGAAGUUCAGAAGAGUCCUGCAACUGAUGAGUCGGGGAGAACACUUGAAGCCAGAGGGAAUCCAGCAGAUUCAAGCCAUUGCGUCCAAAAUGAACCGGGGUCGGGAAAGAUAAAGUCCGGCUCCAUCGGAAACGAUGUGGGAUGAACCGAGCGAAAUUCCUUGUCGGGCAAGUUCCGACCUGCACGAAUGGCGUAACGAUAGAGCGACUGUCGUGGCGAGUGACUCAGCGAACUUGUAGUACCGGUGAAGAUGCCGGUUUCCCGCACCUAGACGGAAAGACCCCGUGCACCUUUACUACAACCUAGCCAUGAAUCGCGGAACUGUAUGCGCAGCAUAGGUGGGAGGCUUUGAACCAGGGCUUUUGGGCUCUGGGGAGCCAACGGUGAGAUACCACCCUUAUGGUUCUGUAGUUCUAACUUCGACCCGUAAUCCGGGCCAAGGACACGGCUAGGCGGGUAGUUUGACUGGGGCGGUCGCCUCCUAAAAUGUAACGGAGGCGCCCCAAGGUUGGCUCAGGCUGUUUGGAAAUCAGCCGUCGAGUGCAAGGGCAUAAGCCAGCCUGACUGCGAGACCUACUAGUCGAGCAGAGACGAAAGUCGGGCCUAGUGAUCCGGUGGUUCUGUAUGGAAGGGCCAUCGCUCAACGGAUAAAAGGUACGCCGGGGAUAACAGGCUGAUCGGAGCCGAGAGUUCACAUCGACGCUCCGGUUUGGCACCUCGAUGUCGGCUCAUCGCAUCCUGGGGCUGGAGCAGGUCCCAAGGGUUGGGCUGUUCGCCCAUUAAAGCGGUACGUGAGCUGGGUUCAGAACGUCGCGAGACAGUUCGGUCCCUAUCUGGUGUGGGCGUAGGAGAUUUGAGGGGGGUUGUCCUUAGUACGAGAGGACCGGGAUGAACAGACCUCUUGUGUACCAGCUGUCUAAACCAUGGCACGGCUGGGUAGCGAAGUCUGGAAGUGAUAAACGCUGAAAGCAUCUAAGCGUGAAGCACGCCCCAAGAUCAUAUCUCCCAAGGAUGAAAGGCGGUUUCGCUAACCGUCGAGAUUCCUCUGAAGGGCCGCGGAAGACUACCGCGUAUAUAGGUCGGACGUGGACGCAGGGUAACCUGUGGAGCUUACCGAUCCUAAUGCCCAUUCGGCUUGACCAU
rnacentral:rRNA from 1 species